GUGAUCUGACACUGGCAGGGGCUGGGACCAGGAGACAAGCUUCCACUGUGCUGAAGAAUUCUGGAUUAUCUUUCAAGAUGUAGCCCAAGCAUCAGCUUCUGUGGAAAUACUUCCCCAGCUGCCCCGAGCAACAAGGCAUUUCCUCUUCUGUGCAUGUUUAAUAAAUGAUUUGUUUACCUGUCA